rnacentral:rRNA from 1 species
GAUGAACGCUGGCGGCGUGCCUAAUACAUGCAAGUCGAGCGAACGGACGAGAAGCUUGCUUCCCUGAUGUUAGCGGCGGACGGGUGAGUAACACGUGGAUAACCUACCUAUAAGACUGGGAUAACUUCGGGAAACCGGAGCUAAUACCGGAUAAUAUUUUGAACCGCAUGGUUCAAAAGUGAAAGACGGUCUUGCUGUCACUUAUAGAUGGAUCCGCGCUGCAUUAGCUAGUUGGUAAGGUAACGGCUUACCAAGGCAACGAUGCAUAGCCGACCUGUGAGGGUGAUCGGCCACACUGGAACUGAGACACGGUCCAGACUCCUACGGGAGGCAGCAGUAGGGAAUCUUCCGCAAUGGGCGAAAGCCUGACGGAGCAACGCCGCGUGAGUGAUGAAGGUCUUCGGAUCGUAAAACUCUGUUAUUAGGGAAGAACAUAUGUGUAAGUAACUGUGCACAUCUUGACGGUACCUAAUCAGAAAGCCACGGCUAACUACGUG